rnacentral:rRNA from 1 species
AACGAACGCUGGCGGAAUGCUUUACACAUGCAAGUCGAACGGCAGCACGGGAGCUUGCUCCUGGUGGCGAGUGGCGAACGGGUGAGUAAUAUAUCGGAACGUAUCCAAUAAUGGGGGAUAACUAGUCGAAAGAUUAGCUAAUACCGCAUACGCCCUGAGGGGGAAAGCUAGGGACCGCAAGGCCUGGCGUUAAUGGAGCGGCCGAUAUCUGAUUAGCUAGUUGGUGAGGUAAAGGCUCACCAAGGCGACGAUCAGUAGCUGGUCUGAGAGGACGACCAGCCACACUGGAACUGAGACACGGUCCAGACUCCUACGGGAGGCAGCAGUGGGGAAUUUUGGACAAUGGGCGCAAGCCUGAUCCAGCCAUUCCGCGUGAGUGAAGAAGGCCUUCGGGUUGUAAAGCUCUUUCGCAAGGGAAGAAAACUUAUCCUCUAACAUAGGAUGAGGUUGACGGUACCUUGAUAAGAAGCACCGGCUAACUACGUGCCAGCCGCCGCAGUAA